rnacentral:rRNA from 1 species
GACGUCGGGUGCUAACGUCCGACGUCAAGAGGGAAACAACCCAGACCGCCAGCUAAGGUCCCCAAGAUUGGCUAAGUGGGAAACGAAGUGGGAAGGCUAAAACAGUCAGGAGGUUGGCUUAGAAGCAGCCAUCCUUUAAAGAAAGCGUAAUAGCUCACUGAUCGAGUCGUCCUGCGCGGAAGAUGUAACGGGGCUAAGCCAGUCACCGAAGCUGCGGAUGCGUGCUUGCACGCAUGGUAGGAGAGCGUUCCGUAAGCCUGCGAAGGUGCCUUGUAAAGGGUGCUGGAGGUAUCGGAAGUGCGAAUGCUGACAUGAGUAGCGAUAAAGGGGGUGAAAGGCCCCCUCGCCGUAAGCCCAAGGUUUCCUACGCAACGUUCAUCGGCGUAGGGUGAGUCGGCCCCUAA